GGGGACAUGGUGCAAUGGUUAGCAUCUGAGUCUUCCAAACUCUUGAUACGGGUACUCUUCGAGAACGCUCCGCGAACGAGUCCCGUUGUCCGCU
rnacentral:tRNA from 1 species